UACAUAAAUUAGUAAAAUUGAUGGAAGAUGUAUUUACAACUUUAACUUAUAAGUUACUAUAUAAGUUAAUAAAAUAAGAUAGUUGUUCCCAAGAAAAUUAAGUUGAAAGCUUUUAAAACACUUGAUGGAGGUGAGUCACCAAAAACUGCUUUUGCAUUACAUGUGGACAAUUAGUGUAAAAAAUUGGGAUAGGGGAGAAAGAUUGUACAGUCAGAUUGCUUUACAAGCAAUCUUCAAACUCUCAACGUUAAAGAAAUAAAAAUUAGAAACUAUAGGUAAUGCAUGAUGAAGAGGCUUAUUUAAAAAAAACAGCAUGUAUUCAAUCAUUUGACCUAAUGGCUACACAUCAAAAGAUUGUGCAUAAAUGUGCAUGCAUUUGCAUAAUAGUGAAUAAAUGUCUAUUUUUAAAUUGAAAAAGAAAGUUAAAGAUAAGCCCAAUUUUUUUGUGAAUAAGUGCUUGAACUGAAUUUUUAAGUUAAUAACCAACUAUCAAUUCAGAUUACAUCAGGAUUUCUACUGUAUGUGACAGAACCAACGAGAAGUUAAAAGUAUGAGUUUUGUUAUAGUCCUAAAUGUUCUGUAUAGAACUAUUUAUAAGACUAACAGAAGGGACUAGAGACUCAUAUAAACGUUGUGUCUCCCGCGUACACUAUUCGUGUUUGAAGAGGAGUCAGAACAAGAGUCUAAUGCUUCAUCCUCUCCUGUGUGGGAGAAGGUGCAAGAAAAAGGGAAACUGAUCCAACAAGGCGCUAUGAUCUGUGUUUACCUGUUCCAGGAGGUUCUUGUGCACUGGGCAGCAGUAUGAGUUGCUCAGAGAGGGGAGUGGCCCUGGUGCUCCAGGAUCUGGCUCUAGGCUCUGACUUCAGGAGAUUGGAGGAAUCUGCAUCACCCUAAGGGACCAGACUUUCUCCAGAGAAUUCUGCCCCAGAGGUGAUUGCUAACACUUAGGAAUGUAUAAUACAGUGAGGGGAGGGGUUAAAAAGUACACACCAAGACUCAAAUCUACACCAAAUGUGGUUUCUUUUUUCUUUAAAAUUCUCUUCUUGCCUUAGCAACCCUAUUCCUGCUGAUGCCAGGAAAAUAAUGGCACUUGCCAAUUAAAGGCACGUUAUUCUCUUAAAAUUCAAAAAUGUUAAUCAGGGUUAACUUUCGCUUUCAAGAUUUUGUACUUCCUUUCUUUCUGCCCACACUGGCAUCUGGAUAUAAGGGGAAGCUAAAGCAGCCUUUGAACACUGGAGGAGGGCAGUCUUUCUCACCAGCUUUUGCUCAGAUGCCCUCAUCUUGCCUUGUUCCUGGGAAAGUGUGUGGUGUCUGCUGAGUUGGAGUGGGUCUUGUCUGUACUAGUGCUGUGGUGUUCUGCUGGCAUGCAUACGCCGGUGAUCAUGGAAAUAGCCAUUGUCUUUAUUUUACAGUGACCCCCGUUCCACGGUCUCCUGGGUCUGUGUGUCUUGUUCAUGAGUGUCCCACUGGGAAACUCCAGAGUGUUUGCCUGCCUUCUGCACACAAUAUGGCAGGGUGCAGGAUUCUGUGAGCCAGCUCAAGGCCCUUCCCUCAGCCUUUGCUGUUACUCUCUCACCAAACUCGAUAUGGGGCUUUGCUAAGGAAUGUAUUCUCCCGGAAGGGUUUUGUGGACAGAGACUAUCAGCUCUUGAAUCAUCCCAUGACCUGUUUGAUAUCUUUCCACUUCAGCCCAGGAACACUGACCCUAAGAGUGUAUGGACCCUGGCUUUUGCUUUUCUAAAUACCACUGACCCAAGGCUGUGUGUAGAGGAGAAUUUCCCAAAGAUUUGGAACACACAUGUGGGUGCAGCAGCGUGGAGCCCUUCACAGUGAAUGGUUGCCAGGAUACCUCUAGGCGACAAAGGCUGGGGCUCCCCUUUCAAGCAGCUGCACACACUGUAGGAAUUCUUGCAAGAGGGAAUGUGAAUCCUGGAGCUAAUUCUGCCCGUUUCCACCAGCCCCCUCCCUGAGGGGCUCAGCUGGCCAUGCUAAAAGCCGCAGUAGAAAGGUGAAAACGAAUAUUACAAGAUCUUGGAAGCAUCUGAGGUUUAAUGAGGACUUUCCAGCAUUCCAGACUGCUGCCCUGCAAUGAAGCUCUGAGUCACGGUCUUUGGGACUAAGGUAUUGGCAACAGUGUGGAACCCCAGGACAGCCAACCUGACUAACCUUCGCUGUAACCAGGAUCCCAAAAGGGGUCUGGCAUGAAAUCAGAGCAUAGAGAAAGACUUGCUUGUUAAUGGAAACAGGAAAGAAAAAAAGGGUUUCCAACAAAUUGCAACAGACUUUCCACCAUUCUAAAGAACCCACCUUCCUUAUCGACCAAGCCGUUCUAUCUAGUGACUCCCAUUCCAGCCUUUUGCCAGAAACAGAGCAUGUCAAUCCUGCUGGAAAAAUAAAGAUAGGACCUCUGACAAGACCUGGAACAGUGAUACUCUCAAAACGGUCCAGGAGGAGAAUUAUGUCAGAAAGUCCGCACAGCCCCCCUGUGAUACCAUCCCGCAGGCCUGGAUUCCGGGUGUGCUAUAUCUGUGGCCGAGAAUUUGGCUCCCAAUCAAUUGCCAUUCAUGAACCCCAGUGCUUGGAGAAGUGGCAUAUUGAAAACAGCAAGUUGCCCAAGCACCUGCGGAGGCCAGAACCCUCCAAACCACAGCCUCUCAGGGGCAGUGGGUCCUACAAUCUUCAGGCCGUGAACGAAGCAGCGUUUCAAAGUUCCCAGGCUCAGCUGCUGCCCUGUGAAUCCUGUGGCCGCACAUUCUUGCCGGAUCGUCGUCUUGUUCACCAGAGGAGCUGCAAGCCGAAGGAUGAGGGGCCCAGAGCACCAAACCCCAACCGUUUUGAUGAUCCGACUGGUGCCAGGAAAGCUGCUGGUGGCAUCCCAGCCCGACCAAAGACUCUCAUCUGCUACAUUUGUGGUAGGGAAUUUGGCACUCUGUCCCUUCCUAUUCAUGAGCCCAAAUGCCUAGAAAAGUGGCAAAUAGAAAACGACCGGCUCCCCAGGGAGCUCCGCCGACCACUCCCACGGAAGCCUCAGCCCCUUCCAACUGGACAGUCCAACCAAGAGGAGCCAAGUCAAGCUCAGCUGGUGCCCUGUGCAAAUUGCGGCCGGACCUUUGCCCCAGACCGCCUUUUGGUACACCAGAGAAGCUGUAGGGUUCAACCAAGUGCACCAAAAAUUCAGAAUUUGACCUUAGGGAGGAAAGGUGGCCUGAAAGAGUCCACAAAUUCCAAGCAGCAAAGGAACAUGGCAGUGCCCACUGUGACUGAUAAGCCAGCAAUGAUAAGGCGUCCACCAACAAUCAUCUGCUACAUUUGUGGCCGUGAAUAUGGAACAAAAUCCAUUGCCAUCCACGAGCCACAAUGUCUGAAAAAAUGGCAUAACGAAAACAACUUGUUGCCCAAAGAAUUAAGGAGAUCAGAACCCAAGAAACCAGAAGUCAGGACCAUUACUGAUUAUACAUCUCUCAGACGUCUUGAUUGUUCUCUUAAGGACGCUUCUUUUCAUCAGCCAAAGGUUUCUAUGAUCUCGAUGCCUUAAAUGAAGCUGCUUGGACAAGCGCCCUGAGCCAGUUGGUUCCCUGUAAUAUUUGUGGGCGUACCUUCCUGCCAGACAGACUGAUUGUUCACCAACGAUCCUGAAGAAGAGGUUAACUUUUCAAAUAGUCUUUAGAUAACCUCAGAGAAGAUUACCAUCUUGAGAAAGACAGCAUUUAAUGACCCGUUGAUGGUUUAGUUCUUUUAUUUUGCGGGCAAAAAUGACAUCUAGUAAUGGAGUUAGUAUAGUGUGAGUCAGACUCUGUGCCUCGUGCUUCCCAUACUCAGUGUGUAUAAAUCUCACAUCAACCCUACAAGGAGACGUUAUCUAUAUUUUACAUCCGAGGAAACUGGUAUUUAAAUAGGUCGAUAGCUAACGAGGUCACACUGGGCUGGAGUCGAGUGAAGCAAACUCGCGACCUUUGGAAUUCCAAACUCAUACUCUUUGCCAGUGCUAUUUGUGUGAUGGAUGUCAUCACGAACACAAUGAACUGUACUAACCAACGAUCUGCCAGGUGUGAUUUUUUUUUUUUUAAUCCAGUGUUUAGCACCUAAGGCAACUGGGAAUCUCAGCAUGCUUGUAGUUUGUCUGCUGGAAUUUUUGGUCAACUGUGGAGGUGAAAACAGAAGUCGGAACUGCCCUCGCUGUCUUGCAGAGGCCACUGUGCCUUCUGCUAAUGGUGGAAGCAGUCAAAUGGGGGAGAUAAAGCAGAAGUGCUGGUCUCAACUUUGAAAGCAGUUGCCUAAAAAAGACAUCCUUAUACACAUUUCUUUCAAAGCAUGACCAAAAAAAAAAUAAAUAAA